UUUGCCUCACCCUAUAUUUUCUUAUGAUAGGUGUUUUAGUUAAAACAAUGUAUAUAACACUUUAUAUAUGUCUAGUACUUUAUAGUUUCCAAUCCCUUUUUCACAUACUCCCUUUGAUCCUUGUGGUACAAAAGUGCCAGGAUAGAAUUUUGAAGUUCUACCUAAUCAUAGUUAAAGAACUAAAUGAGAGGAUGAGUCAAAUGUUCAGAAUUCUUCACCAAUGACUUCAAUUGUUUUGGAUCACUUAACAUUCAACAAGGCUACAAAGCAUUUUAAAAAUUGAAUGAACAGACUAGAAAUUAUACUUACUGUCUGUGUAUUUAUUUGGAGUUUUCAGACACAAUAAAAUCUAAUCGAAUCUAGACAUGUGGUGAACUAUAAGCCUUCUCAAUCAUGCCUCUUCACAAACAUUGCCAAUUAUCAAGCAGCAUUAAAAUACAAUAAAAUUAAAGCAAGGGCUGUUUGAAAACUUUUUAGCUACUUGUCAAUUAAAAGAGAAACUUAUAAACUACUAAAUAUACCUUAAGGAACUUGGUAUUCCUCAUCAAAUUUUGUGAAAAACUUGUUAACUCCUUCAAAAAUUAACCCAGAAAAUACUGAGAAAAAA